AUUCCAGCUCCAAUAGCGUAUAUUAAAGUUGUUGCAGUUAAAAAGCUCGUAGUUGAACUUCAGACCUGGCCGGGCGGUCUGCCUAACGGUAUGUACUGUCUGGCUGGGUCUUACCUCUUGGUGAGCCGGCAUGCCCUUCACUGGGUGUGUCGGGGAACCAGGACUUUUACCUUGAGAAAAUUAGAGUGUUCAAAGCAGGCCUACGCCCGAAUACAUUAGCAUGGAAUAAUAAAAUAGGACGUGCGGUUCUAUUUUGUUGGUUUCUAGAGUCGCCGCAAUGAUUAAUAGGGAUAGUUGGGGGCAUUAGUAUUCAGUUGCUAGAGGUGAAAUUCUUGGAUUUACUGAAGACUAACUACUGCGAAAGCAUUUGCCAAGGAUGUUUUCAUCA
rnacentral:rRNA from 1 species